UAUGUGAUCGUCUCUCGCAUAUCAAUAAGCGGAGGAAAAGAAACUAACAAGGAUUCCCCUAGUAACGGCGAGUGAAGCGGGAAGAGCUCAAAUUUGAAAUCUUAAAGGGUUUCCCUUUACGAAUUGUAGUUUAAAGAAGUGUUUUCUGUUGAGGUUUUGGUAAAAGUUCUUUGGAAUAGGACAUCAUAGAGGGUGAGAAUCCCGUAUUUGACCUUUACUUUCAACUUUGUGAUACACUUUCAAAGAGUCGGAUUGUUUGGGAAUGCAGUCCAAAAUGGGUGGUAAAUUUCAUCUAAAGCUAAAUAUUGGCGAGAGACCGAUAGCGAACAAGUACCGUGAGGGAAAGAUGAAAAGAACUUUGAAAAGAGAGUUAAACAGUACGUGAAAUUGUCAAAAGGGAAGCGUUUGACACCAGUGUUGUUUUUCUGAAAAUCAAUUAAAGAACUGUUUAUGCUAAGCUGUUUAGACUUUAUCAGCUAUCUGUUUAGUUUUGAGCUUUUCUUUAAUGCACUCUUCAGUUAACAAGUCAACAUCAAUUUCUUUUGCUGUAAAGAAGCUUGAGGAAGGUGGCUUGAGAUUCGUCUUAAGUGUUUAUAGCCUCUUGCCUAUGCAGUCGGAGAGAUUGAGGUCUGCAGCGUAGAUCCUUCGGGGCUAAAUGCAUUUGUGCUAAGUUAUAGCAUUUUAUAGACAACUUGUUGACUAUGAUUUGUCUUGUAGCUUACUCGCUUAUGUUAUUUUACCUACGCUUAGGAUGUUGAACGCGCACAGAGUCUC
rnacentral:rRNA from 1 species